AACGAACGCUGGCGGCAUGCCUAACACAUGCAAGUCGAACGAGACCUUCGGGUCUAGUGGCGCACGGGUGCGUAACGCGUGGGAACCUGCCCUUAGGUUCGGAAUAACUCCCCGAAAGGGGUGCUAAUACCGGAUAAUGUCUUAGGACCAAAGGUUUAUCGCCUUUGGAUGGGCCCGCGUUGGAUUAGCUAGUUGGUAGGGUAAAAGCCUACCAAGGGGACGAUCCAUAGCUGGUCUGAGAGGAUGAUCAGCCACACUGGGACUGAGACACGGCCCAGACUCCUACGGGAGGCAGCAGUGGGGAAUAUUGGACAAUGGGCGAAAGCCUGAUCCAGCAAUGCCGCGUGAGUGAUGAAGGCCUUAGGGUUGUAAAGCUCUUUUACCCGGGAUGAUAAUGACAGUACCGGGAGAAUAAGCUCCGGCUAACUCCGUG
rnacentral:rRNA from 1 species